rnacentral:rRNA from 1 species
CACCCAGAACAGGCCCAAUCUCUUCUGAUCUUGGAAGCUAAGCAGGGUUG